UAGGGAAUCUUCCGCAAUGGACGAAAGUCUGACGGAGCAACGCCGCGUGAGUGAAGAAGGAUUUCGGUUCGUAAAACUCUGUUGUUAGGGAAGAAAAAAUGUAUAGUAACUAUAUACAAAAGAGACGGUACCUAACCAGAAAGCCACGGCUAACUACGUGCCAGCAGCCGCGGUAAUACGUAGGUGGCAAGCGUUGUCCGGAAUUAUUGGGCGUAAAGCGCGCGCAGGUGGUUUAGAAAGUCUGAUGUGAAAGCCCACGGCUCAACCGUGGGAGGUCAUUGGAAACUAAUAAACUUGAGUGCAGGAGAGAAAAGUGGAAUUCCUAGUGUAGCGGUGAAAUGCGUAGAGAUUAGGGGGAACACCGGUGGCGAAAGCGGCUUUUUGGCCUGCAACUGACACUGAGGCGCGAAAGCGUGGGGAGCAAACAGG
rnacentral:rRNA from 1 species